GUUAUGUUCACCUCCAUUUCUCGGCUCAGUUAACAUCCAAGUGCAAGAAUGAAUCCUGUUACCGUGUUUGGCUUUCUUGGUCUUCUGCUCAUUAUCCAAGCAAUGACUUCCGUUCAAACGACCACAAUCGGGGCAAACUCAAACGAGACAACCAUAGCAACUACAACAUCAAAUGAAACGAGCUCACCAAUAGCUACAUCAACUUUAACAUCAGCUGCGGAAACUACAACAACAGCUGCAGAAACUACAACAACAGCUGCAACAACUCCAUCAACAGCUGCAACAACUCCAUCAACAGCUGCAACAACUCCAUCAACAGCUGCCACAACUCCAUCAACAGCUGCAACAACUCCAUCAACAGCUGCAACAAUUCCAUCAACAGCUGCAACAACUCCAUCAACAGCUGCCACAACUCCAUCAACAGCUGCAUCAAAUCCGUCAACAGCUGCGUCCAGUUCACCAGCGGGAGCUACAGCUGGGGCGGCCAGUGAGACAGGUUCAUCAGUGACAGCUACAACACAUCAGACUACAACUCGUCAACACAAGGAUACAGUUGUACCUUACGUCUGUCGGUGACCUGGUGUCCAAGCAGCAUCUCAAUGUUGACUGUUCUGUUGGCCAACUUGCGCAACACAGUAUAAUUGUAAUGUGUCGCUGCCUUCCUCAACGGAGAAGACCUUCCAUAAAGUCCCUGCGCAUUGAUUUUAAGUUUAGAUUAUGAACCUCUGUACUAAAUACUGUUAUUGUAGUUCUAAAAUCCCAUAUUUUAGUUUAAAUUCUGUAUUCCCCAAAUAUAGGACUUGAUUUUUUGUGCCGCGAUUAAGAGAUGUGGGAAACAACUGUAUCUAUGAAAAGUAAGGUAGUUUGAACAAAGAACUUGUUUGAAUAUAUUUGUUACAAUUUUUAAUUAUUUUUUGUCUUUUUAAGGGUUGUAUAGCUUGUAGAAGUAACCGCUCAUUGACCAUAGAGACAAUAUUUCUUUCCUUGCUGUUGUAGUUGACAAUUUCUUUCUCUCUCGCCAUCAGCAUUGCGAAGUCAGCGUCUCUCUCCACCUCUCUCGCUCUCUACUAUACUUCACUUGGAGCAUCUCAAUAUGAACCAAGUUAAAUCUUGGGGAUUGUGUUUCCUUAAGAAAGAAGAAAAGGACCGUUGAUGUUUUCUGAGUUUUGGAAACGUCCUUUUAUUCUUUUUUAUGUGAAAUUUGAUCAAUCAGGUGACUUUUUGUAAUCUGUUUUACUCUAUUGUCUACAAAAGGCUCAAAUAUUCUUCAUGCAAAAAAAUAAAGACGAAACAGCUUUUUAUAGCUUGA